GACGAACGCUGGCGGCGUGCCUAAUACAUGCAAGUAGAACGCACAGUUUAUACCGUAGCUUGCUACACCAUAAACUGUGAGUUGCGAACGGGUGAGUAACGCGUAGGUAACCUGCCUGGUAGCGGGGGAUAACUAUUGGAAACGAUAGCUAAUACCGCAUAAUAUUGAUUAUUGCAUGAUAAUUGAUUGAAAGAUGCUAUUGCAUCACUACCAGAUGGACCUGCGUUGUAUUAGCUAGUAGGUGAGGUAACGGCUCACCUAGGCGACGAUACAUAGCCGACCUGAGAGGGUGAUCGGCCACACUGGGACUGAGACACGGCCCAGACUCCUACGGGAGGCAGCAGUAGGGAAUCUUCGGCAAUGGACGAAAGUCUGACCGAGCAACGCCGCGUGAGUGAAGAAGGGUGUCGGAUCGUAAAGCUCUGUUGUAAGAGAAGAGCGGGUGUGAGAGUGGAAAGUUCACACUGUGACGGUAUCUUACCAGAAAGGGACGGCUAACUACGUG
rnacentral:rRNA from 1 species